rnacentral:lncRNA from 1 species
UCUCAACCUGGAAAAUGCACUUUGGAAAGCCUGGCUUUUCCUUUAAGCCACAGUGACAGCCAUGAGGUGGGCUGGCUGCAAUGCCGAGGCACCUUCCUGCUGCUGCUCCCUUGAGUGAGAUGGACUGCCUUACAGCCAGGCAGCCAACAAGGUGUGGGUCAUUGAAACCAGGGCUGCACGAAUGCUCAUUACCAUAAGAAAGAAUGGCUUUGGUGUUUGGCUUGACAGUGCAGGUGGUGAAAGCUUCUUGUUGCUAAGUAUCUGCAUGUGAAAAUUAUAGAGUACACCAAGACUAGCAGCAUAGCAGCUCUCCAGGUACCAGAGCAUCCUAUGAAAUCUGAUUCUGUUGGAUUCAAUCACUGACUGGGCAUGUAGGUGCUGGAUGGACAGGUCAACUAAUGGAUCCCAUUUACAAGGCAGCCCUGCAAACAAGCAGUGUCUGCACAGCCAUGAGGGCAGCAUGAUGAUAACAGUGUGGAGGUGGGGACAUGCAGCUCUGGAGAGACCCACAAGCAAGCUUUGCUAGUGAAGAAAAUAAAAC